UAUUUUUCCUUUUUUUGGCAAACAACAUGAAACUUCACUGCUAAACUGUAAUUUGAGUGUAAUGGCCUUUAGUUGUGAGCUUCAAAAGUGUACAUCCUCUUCAUGGGACGGAUGUGUGAAAAUAAUUUAUGAGCAUUUGUAAAUGUGUCUCACUACCGCCAACCAACAUAAAACAAAAAUUUGUUUUUGAAGUUAUAUUUUGUGGUAUUAUUAAAUAUUUAUACCAAGGCUGCAUUUAUUCAGGCCAAAAAAAACGAAAAGAACAAACAAACACUGUGACCAGAGUAGAGGGACCACAACACAAGGGGAAUAUGACAAACGAGAAAAAGGCUAAAAAAACAGUUUACAGCUUAUUUCUAAUGUUGUCAAAGGACCUUUGUCAUUGUUGUUGUUUAUAAAGAGUUAUGAUCAUAAAGCAAGAUAUACGUCUGGCCCACAUACUCGUAUCUCGGCGCCUCCCACACAGAGCGCGUUUCCAUCGCAUUGUUUUCCAUCAAGCAUUGCAAAAGUUUGAGCUCCCCGAUUCCAAUCUUAACCCCAAACAACGCCCAGCCCUUCGAAAAGUCCAAAGUCACAACUGAAUUUUGUUGAUUUGCUCUUGGUUUUGUUGUUGUUCUCCGUUGUUCACUUUUUCCUCUUUUUACAGUUUGUUUGUGUCACUUUUGUGAAAUUUUAAUUGGAUCUGUUGGAUGGUUUGUUUAAAUAACAAAAUAUACUUCGUGGUUCGCUGUGAAUACUCGUAUGUGUGUAUGUAAAAAUGCCUCGGGCGAGGAUGCGACCGUAAUUUCAAAAGGACUACGAGAAAAUUAUUUGGUAACAAAUUCACGCUUUUCCUGCCAUAUCAAAUGUGUAUGUCUUCGUCCACCACUUGCCUUUCCCUACCCCUUCACCUGUAUUUUUGGCCAACACUAGUAUGGCUUCACACAUGGUAAUAAAAUUGGCUUCUCAGAUUUGUGAAUGAUUUUGAA